rnacentral:rRNA from 1 species
CCUACGGGGGGCAGCAGUGGGGAAUAUUGCACAAUGGGGGGAUCCCUGAUGCAGCGACGCCGCGUGAGUGAAGAAGUAUUUCGGUAUGUAAAGCUCUAUCAGCAGGGAAGAAGAUGACGGUACCUGACUAAGAAGCCCCGGCUAACUACGUGCCAGCAGCCGCGGUAAUACGUAGGGGGCAAGCGUUAUCCGGAUUUACUGGGUGUAAAGGGAGCGUAGACGGCAGGGCAAGUCUGGAGUGAAAGCCCGGGGCCCAACCCCGGGACUGCAUUGGAAACUGGCAUGCUGGAGUGCCGGAGGGGCAAGCGGAAUUCCUAGUGUAGCGGUGAAAUGCGUAGAUAUUAGGAGGAACACCAGUGGCGAAGGCGGCUUGCUGGACGGUAACUGACGUUGAGGCUCGAAAGCGUGGGGAGCAAACAGGAUUAGAUACCCUUGUAGUC